rnacentral:rRNA from 1 species
GGUGGGCGGCGGCUACCAUGCAGUCGAGCGGAACGAUGGAAGCUUGCUUCCAGGCGUCGAGCGGCGGACGGGUGAGUAAUGCAUAGGAAUCUGCCCGGUAGUGGGGGAUAACCUGGGGAAACCCAGGCUAAUACCGCAUACGUCCUACGGGAGAAAGCAGGGGAUCUUCGGACCUUGCGCUAUCGGAUGAGCCUAUGUCGGAUUAGCUAGUUGGUGAGGUAAUGGCUCACCAAGGCCGCGAUCCGUAGCUGGUCUGAGAGGAUGAUCAGCCACAUCGGGACUGAGACACGGCCCGAACUCCUACGGGAGGCAGCAGUGGGGAAUAUUGGACAAUGGGCGAAAGCCUGAUCCAGCCAUGCCGCGUGUGUGAAGAAGGCUUUCGGGUUGUAAAGCACUUUCAGUGGGGAAGAAAUCCUCGGGGCCAAUACCCUCGAGGGAGGACAUCACCCACAGAAGAAGCACCGGCUAACUCCGUGCCAGCAGCCGCGGUAAUACGGAGGGUGCGAGCGUUAAUCGGAAUUACUGGGCGUAAAGCGCGCGUAGGCGGCGUGAUAAGCCGGUUGUGAAAGCCCCGGGCUCAACCUGGGAACGGCAUCCGGAACUGUCAGGCUAGAGUGCAGGAGAGGAAGGUAGAAUUCCCGGUGUAGCGGUGAAAUGCGUAGAGAUCGGGAGGAAUACCAGUGGCGAAGGCGGCCUUCUGGACUGACACUGACGCUGAGGUGCGAAAGCGUGGGUAGCAAACAGGAUUAGAUACCCUGGUAGUCCACGCCGUAAACGAUGUCGACUAGCCGUUGGGGUCCUUGUGACCUUUGUGGCGCAGUUAACGCGAUAAGUCGACCGCCUGGGGAGUACGGCCGCAAGGUUAAAACUCAAAUGAAUUGACGGGGGCCCGCACAAGCGGUGGAGCAUGUGGUUUAAUUCGAUGCAACGCGAAGAACCUUACCUACUCUUGACAUCGUGCGAACUUUCCAGAGAUGGAUUGGUGCCUUCGGGAACGCACAGACAGGUGCUGCAUGGCCGUCGUCAGCUCGUGUUGUGAAAUGUUGGGUUAAGUCCCGUAACGAGCGCAACCCUUGUCCCUAUUUGCCAGCACGUAAUGGUGGGAACUCUAGGGAGACUGCCGGUGACAAACCGGAGGAAGGUGGGGACGACGUCAGGUCAUCAUGGCCCUUACGAGUAGGGCUACACACGUGCUACAAUGGCCGGUACAAAGGGUUGCGAAGCCGCGAGGUGGAGCUAAUCCCGAAAAGCCGGUCUCAGUCCGGAUCGGAGUCUGCAACUCGACUCCGUGAAGUCGGAAUCGCUAGUAAUCGUGAAUCAGAAUGUCACGGUGAAUACGUUCCCGGGCCUUGUACACACCGCCCGUCACACCAUGGGAGUGGACUGCACCAGAAGUGGUUAGCCUAACUUCGGAGGGCGAUCACCACGGUGGUACUU